AGCAAAAUGAUGAGAUAACUUCUCUGAAUUUAUGUAUGAUGAAGAGCAUUACAUAAUGGUUUUCAAAGUUCUCUGAUUGCU
rnacentral:snoRNA from 1 species